rnacentral:lncRNA from 1 species
GUACAUGCAUAAUCAGAAUGCAAGAUCAAAUUAUCAUCAAUUACCAAAACAAUCAUAGUUGGUGAUAGCACUUAAAAGUGAGGCAAAGAGAAGAAAUGUUUACUCAUGUUGCAAAACAUUAUUGAGUUCUUUCAAAUUUUCCAACAAAUCCUCGAGACCUCGACGAAAACAGAGAAUCGUAUGCAAAUUCUUUGACAGUAAAACUCGCUUGCGGGAAGAUCAAAAUCAGCUAAACCGAUACCCAAUAACUAAUGUUUCAAUAGAUAGCAACAUUGUAACAUAUUAACUCGCUUGCUGGAAGAUCAAAAUCAGCUAAACCGAUACCCAAUAACUAAUGUUUCAAUAGAUAGCAACAUUGUAACAUAUUAACCAUGCUAUGGAAAAGGAUUUUUUUUUUGUUUGAAAAAUAGUAUUAUGAGUAAACACCAGC